CUGGGAAUACCGGGUGCUGUAGGCUU
rnacentral:piRNA from 12 species